CAAAUUCCCAACAUCCAAACCCAGCACCCAUUCAUUAACUCAUCAUUGAACUUGGAACAAAUUCAAUCAAUUUCCAGCAUUCACAGCAACAACUUCAAUUAAUUACAAUUUACAAAUUGAAAAAAAAUAUUUCAAAACAAUUCUCAAAAUUUCAACAGUGAGAGAUGAUGGCACACUGUGAGGCACAAAGCUGGACAGAGGAGGCCGGGAUGAUGACACACCAUG
rnacentral:misc_RNA from 1 species